rnacentral:rRNA from 1 species
CAGCCGCCGCGGUAAUACGUAGGUGGCAAGCGUUGUCCGGAAUUAUUGGGCGUAAAGCGCGCGCAGGCGGAUAGGUCAGUCUGUCUUAAAAGUUCGGGGCUUAACCCCGUGAUGAGAUGGAAACUGCCAAUCUAGAGUAUCGGAGAGGAAAGUGGAAUUCCUAGUGUAGCGGUGAAAUGCGUAGAUAUUAGGAAGAACACCAGUGGCGAAGGCGACUUUCUGGACGGAAACUGACGCUGAGGCGCGAAAGCCAGGGGAGCGAACGGGAUUAGAUACCCCAGUAGUCCCUGUCUCUUAUACA